GACGAACGCUAGCGGCAGGCUUAACACAUGCAAGUCGAGCGCCCUGCUUGCAGGGAGCGGCAGACGGGUUAGUAACGCGUGGGAACGUGCCCUUCGGUACGGAAUAGCCCUGGGAAACUGGGUGUAAUACCGUAUACGACCUUUGGGUGAAAGAUUUAUCGCCGAAGGAUCGGCCCGCGUUAGAUUAGCUAGUUGGUGAGGUAAAGGCUUACCAAGGCGACGAUCUAUAGCUGUUCUGAGAGGAAGAUCAGCAACACUGGGACUGAGACACGGCCCAG
rnacentral:rRNA from 1 species